GUAAUACAUUCUGACAUAUGAUUUUGCUGCAAAUCAAAGAUGCCGUAUAUACUCCCUCUUACACUGGUUUUGCUUUAAAUCACAAGAAGCUGGAGCUAGGUAUUGCAAUACUAAAGGGAAACAAAAUGCACUGCUCAGCGAGGCAGGGUCUUGCUGGGGACAAGCUGUGCGCUGAAGUGAUUCAAGAGGAAAAAGUGGCUUCUUUACCUCUGGCUGAUUGUUAAUGCCCUUCCAGCAGAGAGGCUGCAGAUAGCCACAAGGAACCGCACUCAGGGUGAUACAGCAUGGUCAGUGAUAAACAGGACAGCAGGAAACAGCUUCUCUCAGUGAUUUUCAGCAUAUCACAGUAAUUUUCUGGAAAUGACACCAAACCACCCCGGAGGUGUUGAACAGAGGUGAAUCAGCUUUAUCAGGUUGGGCAAAGGGAAACUUGGAUCCUCAGUGCAGAGGGCAGUCUUAAGUGGAAAAAAGGCUGUGAGGCUGUCACUGGGGGGAACUGAUCCCCAGGCAUCCCAUAGCUGCAGCCAAGCCUUUGGGCCCAGGCUCAGCAUGUUGUGAAGCAGCUGAGGAC
rnacentral:lncRNA from 1 species